rnacentral:rRNA from 1 species
GAUGAACGCUGGCGGCGUGCCUAAUACAUGCAAGUCGAGCGAACGGACGAGAAGCUUGCUUCUCUGAUGUUAGCGGCGGACGGGUGAGUAACACGUGGAUAACCUACCUAUAAGACUGGGAUAACUUCGGGAAACCGGAGCUAAUACCGGAUAAUAUUUUGAACCGCAUGGUUCAAAAGUAAAAGACGGUCUUGCUGUCACUUAUAGAUGGAUCCGCGCUGCAUUAGCUAGUUGGUAAGGUAACGGCUUACCAAGGCAACGAUGCAUAGCCGACCUGAGAGGGUGAUCGGCCACACGGGAACUGAGACACGGUCCAGACUCCGACGGGAGGCAGCAGUAGGGAAUGUUCCGCAAUGGGCGAAAGCCUGACGGAGCAAGGCCGCGUGAGAUAUGAAGGCCUUGGGAUCGUAAAGCUCGGUUAUUAGGGAAGAACAGCUGUGGAAGGAAAUGUGGCGAUAUUGACGGUACCUAAUAAGAAAGCACCGGCUAACUACGUG